rnacentral:rRNA from 1 species
GUGAGGAAUAUUGGACAAUGGGCGCAAGCCUGAUCCAGCCAUGCCGCGUGCAGGAAGACGCAUCUAUGGUGUGUAAACUGCUUUUGUACGGGAAGAAACACUCCCUCGUGAGGGAGCUUGACGGUACCGUAAGAAUAAGGAUCGGCUAACUCCGUGCCAGCAGCCGCGGUAAUACGGAGGAUCCAAGCGUUAUCCGGAAUCAUUGGGUUUAAAGGGUCCGUAGGCGGUUUAAUAAGUCAGUGGUGAAAGCCCAUCGCUCAACGAUGGAACGGCCAUUGAUACUGUUAGACUUGAAUUACAAGGAAGUAACUAGAAUAUGUAGUGUAGCGGUGAAAUGCUUAGAUAUUACAUGGAAUACCAAUUGCGAAGGCAGGUUACUAACAAGUUAUUGACGCUGAUGGACGAAAGCGUGGGGAGCGAACAGGAUUAGAUACCCUGGUAGUCC